rnacentral:rRNA from 1 species
UACGAAGGGUGCAAGCGUUAUCCGGAUUCAUUGGGUUUAAAGGGUGCGUAGGCGGGGUGGUAAGUCAGUGGUGAAAUCUUGCGGCUUAACCGUAAAAUUGCCAUUGAUACUGCCAUUCUUGAGUACGCUCGACGUAGGCGGAAUGUGCCGUGUAGCGGUGAAAUGCUUAGAUAUGGCACAGAACACCGAUAGUGAAGACAGCUUACGAGGGCGAAACUGACGCUGAGGCACGAAAGCGUGGGGAUCGAACAGG